rnacentral:sRNA from 1 species
CAAAAACCAAUAGGCCCCAGUGAAAUAUCAUGGAGACAGAUCAAAGGAGAGUUUAGUGAGUUUUGCAAUGCAGCAUGUUAGAAGUACAGUGACAGAACUUUGGACAGGAAAUUUUGUUAACUCCAUACAAACUGCUUUUGCUGCUGGUAUUGGCUGGCUGAUCACUUUUUGUUCAAAAGGAGGAGAUUGUUUGACUUCACAGACACGACUCAGGCUUAGUGGCAUGUUGGUAAGCAUCAAUCAUUUUGUAAAAGUAUAUCACCAUGUAAAGAAACACGUUUAGAAAUUGAUUUGAAACAUUUUCUUCCCUUAUUUCUUGAACAUUUAACUCACCUAUUUGUAAUCUUAUUUUCUGAUGACUGUAUUCAUAGCUAUGUGUUUUUUCCUGAAUAAUUAGCUACGUUCAAUAAAUUUUGACAUGGUA